GUCUGGUUGGCUCAGUUGGUAGAGCGUCGGUCUCAUAUUACAUGACAUCUCCUCAGGAGUUGCAAUCCGAAGAUCGCGAGUUCGAUCCUCGCACCGGACA